GCCUACGGGGGGCAGCAGUGGGGGAUAUUGCACAAUGGGGGAAACCCUGAUGCAGCGACGCCGCGUGGGUGAAGAAGCGCCUCGGCGCGUAAAGCCCUGUCAGCAGGGAAGAAAAUGACGGUACCUGAAGAAGAAGCCCCGGCUAACUACGUGCCAGCAGCCGCGGUAAUACGUAGGGGGCAAGCGUUAUCCGGAUUUACUGGGUGUAAAGGGGGCGCAGACGGCGAUGCAAGCCAGGAGUGAAAGCCCGGGGCCCGACCCCGGGACGGCUCUUGGAACUGGGUGGCUAGAGUGCAGGAGGGGCG
rnacentral:rRNA from 1 species